GGACGGGUGAGUAACGCGUGAGAAUCUAGCUUCAGGUUCGGGACAACAGUUGGAAACGACUGCUAAUACCGGAUGUGCCCACGGGUGAAAGGCUUGCUGCCUGAAGAAGAGCUUGCGUCCGAUUAGCUAGUUGGUGAGGUAAAGGCUUACCAAGGCAUCGAUCGGUAGCUGGUCUGAGAGGAUGACCAGCCACACUGGGACUGAGACAAGGCCCAGACUCCUACGGGAGGCAGCAGUGGGGAAUUUUCCGCAAUGGGCGAAAGCCUGACGGAGCAAUACCGCGUGAGGGAAGAAGGCUCUUGGGUUGUAAACCUCUUUUCUCAGGGAAUAAAAAAAUGAAGGUACCUGAGGAAUAAGCAUCGGCUAACUCCGUGCCAGCAGCCGCGGUAAUACGGAGGAUGCAAGCGUUAUCCGGAAUGAUUGGGCGUAAAGCGUCCGCAGGUGGUACAACAAGUCUAGUGUCAAAGACCGGGGCUCAACUCCGGGAUGGCGGUGGAAACUGUUGAACUAGAGGGUCGUAGGGGUAGAGGGAAUUCCCAGUGUAGCGGUGAAAUGCGUAGAGAUUGGGAAGAACAUCGGUGGCGAAGGCGCUCUACUGGACGUACAACCGACACUGCAUGAUCACGCAGCU
rnacentral:rRNA from 1 species